rnacentral:rRNA from 1 species
UACGUAGGGUGCAAGCGUUGUCCGGAAUUAUUGGGCGUAAAGAGCUUGUAGGCGGUUUGUCGCGUCUGCUAUGAAAUUUCGGGGCUCAACCCCGAACUUGCAGUGGGUACGGGCAGACUAGAGUGUGGUAGGGGAGACUGGAAUUCCUGGUGUAGCGGUGAAAUGCGCAGAUAUCAGGAGGAACACCAGUGGCGAAGGCGGUUCUCUGGGACGGUACUGACGCUGAGACGCGAAAGCGUGGGGAGCGAACAGG